ACCGUGGGAGGCAGCGUUAGGGACACCUGCAUGGAUCACGUUGCUCAAAGCCGCAUCCAGCCUGGCCUUGAGCUCCUCCAGGGCUGAGGCAUCCAUCACUUCUCUGAGCAACCCGUGCUAGUGCCUCACCACCCUUCCGGGUUUGGAAUGCUGUAAAGAAAGGUUCAGUUUAGAUCUUGCAAGUGGAAUUCUUCGCUGGAGAAGGCAAACCAGCAAUAUUAAAUUACUGAGCUAUCAGACCAUAGAAGACUUCUAUGACAAUGUUAACAAAGAAGAUAACACUAAUGAAGGUGAAUACACACGAUCAGGAAAAACCAUCUCUUUAUCUGGGUGUGUUUGAGCUUAAUUGCUGGUACGAUGCUUGAAUGCCGGAUUCCACAAGGCCAGAAAAAUUCCUUCUCCAUUGCCCUUAUUUUGCCUUGUGGACGCUGGAUAACAAGCAUGGUUUGUCCAGACCCCAUUUUGGAUGUUGUGGUCCACGAGCCGAGUCUAAGCUGCGGAGCGCCUCCUUCUUACCUGCCACCUGACCAGAUCCUAAAUGCAAGCGGCUAUAAUUUUGAUGGGGUGUGCUUGCUGGGCUCUGGCGUCGUCCAUGUGACUUGCAGUGGUUUCCAGAAGGAGGAUGAAGGUGCGAGUAAGAAGCCACCCUCCCUAGACUCGGCAAGCAAGAAAUGGCAGCAGCUGCUGACAGACCUAGAGUGACUGUUCCGGCACAUGGAAGUAAAGUUCAGUUUGACACGGGUUCCUCAGGAUCUUUUUCUGCUUGGAGGCAAUGUUAUGAGCCCUGUGAUAAAUAAUUUAGACCAAAGCAGGAUUCCAAUCAAAGUCCACAAUUUAUUAAGUAGAGGCAAGCAAACAGCUCUGGGUGCGCCAGGAGUCUAUGCUCAACCAAGACGCACACCUUACAAUACAAGGGAACUUCUUUUAUAACUUAGCUUUAGUUACAUAUUCAUAAUGGGCGUGUUUCCCCUACAAGUUCUCCACCCCUGGGUUGCGCAGGCGUAGUAGUUCUUCUAGAAGCUUCUCCGGUGAUGGAGAGAUCUUCUAUAUAACAAUCAAGUCCUUUACUACCCAUGUGCAGUAACAGUAAUUUUGUGCAACAGGUUUAACAGAAAAACACAGCAGACCCCUUUUUUUCCCAAAAUAGGAACCAUAUACACACCAUCCUGCUUUCCCCAAGUCUGCAGUUGUACAAGGACAAACAGAAUGGCUAAAAAUUACAUGUCACCCUGUGGUCCCAGCAUUGCUCCACACUGACACGAAUCAGGUGAACACAUCUCACAAUCCCCCAUUUUCUUUUGUAUGGUAUUGAUUCAUGUCUUUGCCUCUAAUCGAGUCAAUAUUUGUCUAAUCGGUGUCAACUCUGGAUCUUCUUUUGCCUUUAAUAUAAUCAGGGAAUGAGUUCCCUCUUUCCCUGAUUCUGGAUCAAUGGGUAUCGCAGUUAUCUGCAUUCCUUGUAUAACCGAGUGUAUUAGUCUAGUAAAACAAGAUAUUAAACAUGGAAUUAUUAACAGUCCUCCACAUAUCCCCAGUACUAUUAUUCCGAUUUUAGUAAGCCAGUUAUCACUUACAAAGCUUUCCCAUAAUUCUCCUAGAUUGAUUCCAUUCCAAGUCUGAACUGGGACAUGUGUAAUUUUCUUCAUUUCUCUUAUUAGUUCAUGUACAGCUUCUCUGUCAUUAAUUUCUAAACAACAAUUACUAAGGUUAAAUUUUCCACAAACACCCCCUUCUUGUGCUAACAAAUAAUCUAAAGCUAAGCAAUUUUGAUACAAAGCAGUCCUCAUCUUGGUGUUUUGUUUUGCAAUUAGUCCAAGUGCAUCUCCAGUUUUAUUUACAACUAUUUCUAUUAAAGCUUGUAAUUAAUUAUUCUAUUUAACAUAUAUAUUUGUGUCCUAUAGCCCCAGGAUCCAUCUUCUGCCCAUGUAGCUGGAUCAUAGUAGGCAAUAAUUCUCUCGGGAGGCCAUUCAUUAUCUUUCCAAUUUCCAGUUUGUAGGCUUCGUUUAUGGUGCCUUCUUCUUAACUCAUCAGCUUCAGUAUAUACUUGGACCCCCAAUCGCUCUCCCCGAUUUAUAGGUAACAGGAAAAAACUUGGCCUUAUAGUUCCUAAUACACAGGAUCCCACCCAAUUUUUUGGCAAAUAUGCAUAGGCUAGUUUACCACAAAUCCAAUAAUGUCCUUCGGGAGUUGGCCAGCCCUUUAGUAUGUUUUUCCCAUUGGUCCAAUUUUUAAAUUGCCCAUUCAUUUUCAGUGGGUUUCCCCACUCAUCCCAUUUAUUCUGAGUUUCAUUCCAUAGGUAACCUCCUUCACACUCCAGAUUACCUACUUGUUUUCCAUCUUCUUUUAAAUUUUGCCAACAACUCCUCCCAAUUAUACUUGUUUGGAGUAUCCAUUGUUGUUUCCUAUUACCUUUUCCCAUUGUUUUCCAUACUCGGGGAUCACUAAAUGUUACUUUCCAUAGCCUCCCAUGGCCAUUGUUCACCUUGAUUUGUCCCACCACAAACAUAACGAUCAGUGACAUUCAAUGACUUAGCAAUGUUUUCAGCCAGAUUUACAAAUAAAUUCUUUGCAACUGUGGGGAUUUCAUAUUUUACUCCUGUCUCUAUUUCAUGAUAAAAUGAAUUAAACAAUAACCGGUGUUGUAUUGACUCUCUAGAUUCUUCUCUAAUUAUUAUCUGUAAGACAGCUUCUGGAUCUUCUCCAGGUCCAUAAAUCAAUAGUCCAAUUCUUACAUCUUGCUGUUUCCAUUGUUCUGGAUUCCAAAUAGUCAGAUUAACAGGGUUACAAGAAUGAGCUGUGCAGUUGGAGAGGGCCAAUCCCUUUUUUAUCUCUGCUUUUAAUUCAGUACCCCUGCAUUGUUGAGGCCAUCCCCGUCUAGGAGCUGUACUCCAACAGGCGCAAUUCCAUCCAGUGCCUCCACAAUAGUAAUAGCUCCUGGCAAUCUCAUCUAAAUCACUGAUACAACAAUUGGAGGGUGGUGACAACUUAGGCCUGGGGCAUAUAUACUUCUCACUUUUGCUAUAAUAUUUUCUCCAGCCCAUGUUUCCACAAUUAGAAUACGGAUCAUCAUCAAUAGCGUCACACGCGUCAAAAGUCACCGACACCAGGGUAUUUAAAUUGGCUAUAACUUUACUUGUUGCAAUCAAUCUACCUCCUUCAGAAUUUGUCCUUAUUUCCAUCCAAUACUGAUAGGAGAGUUCUUUUGGAUCAUAACAUACAGUUCUGUUCCCUUCUCUACACAGAGCAUAUUGGGUUAGGUUAUGAAUACAACUUCCCAUUUUUUGGCCCUUACAAUCAUAAAUAGUAUGAUAAACCAAGGUCUGAGAGCUUACUCGUCCCCUCCUAGUAGUUACUACGCAUUGACUACAGUUGUUUGCCAUAACCCAAGUCCAGGAGCUUACCCCAAGUAGGACUAGAAGAGGUCCGGUCAAGGCCAUAGUGAUCGGCGGUCACAGCCCGAAGGGGUUGCAGCCCUUGGCAGACCCUUUUUGAGCCGCACCACCAGCACCCCUCUGGUCUUGCCCUCUUCCUUAACCUCUCAAGGGGUAAUCUUUAAUCAAAAAACACUCUCUGGUUAAGCUGACAACAAUAAAACCUACCCCACAGCAGGUUACAUAGGAGGAUGUUGGUCCCCACAGCGAAUAUACAAAAAACCUAAACCAUUUCUUGGAUUAAUACACUUUGCCCUUAAAUCACUGGCCCUCCUCCCAUUCACUACAUAUUACUCCAAAAAUAUUCCUGUCCAUUAAUUCUACAGGAGUAGUUACAAUGAAAUUCCCAUAGCAACUUAGCUUAUGCUCCUUGAUAAAAGCCUCUCUGGGUCCAUCCUUUUUCAGCAGUUCUCACAGCCGUUUCUGUAGUUAAUAAGACAAGAAAAGGCCCCUCCCAGAGGGGAGAUAAGGUUUCCUCCUUCCAUGUUUUUAUCAGAACCUUAUCUCCUGGUUUUAACUGAUGAAUUGCAAAUCCCAAUGGUGGUGUUUGAGCCAUCAUCCCAAUCUCUCUCAACUCUUUUAAUCUUUUUCCAAGAGUUACUAUAUAUUUUUGAAUGCUAUGAUCUUCAAUUACAUUGUUCCCCAGAGGCAUCCCUUGGGAAUAAGGCAUGCCAUAUAACAUUUCAUACGGCGAUAAUCCAGUUUCAAUGUGUGGCUUAGUUCUUAUGUUUAAUAGUGCUAAUGGUAAACAUCUUGUUUAGGGCAUCUGUUUCUCAAUCAUUAAUUUAGCCAAUUGCUGUUUUAUUGUUUGGUUCAUUCUUUCUACUUUCCCUGAGCUUUGGGGAUGCCACGGAGUGUGAUAUUCCCACUGAAUACCUAAUGAUUGACAUAAUAAUUUUAUUAUUUUAGAGGUAAAGUGUGUGCCUUGCUCAGAAUCAAUGCACUGGAUUAUCCGGUAUCUAGGUAUUAAGUGCUCUAAUAAAAUUUUUACCACCAUCUGGGCUGUAGCCCGCGCUACAGGGUAGGCUUCUACCCAUUGUGUUAAAUGAUCCACUAUUACCAAUAGGUAUUUUACCCUCCCCACCUUAGGCAAUUCAGUGAAAUCAACUUGUACUUUUUUGAAAGGUCUAUAAGCGGUUUUCCUUCCUCCCAUGGCGGCUUGUCGAAAUACCUUCUUGUUUAUCUUUUGACAAGUUAAACAUCCUUGUGUAAUUUGCUUUGCUAUUUCAAAAAUCCCAAUACAGCCAAAUUAUUUAAGGAAAUGAUCACUUAACGCUUUUGUACCCCAAUGUCUUUGUGUAUAUAAUUGCUCUAAUAUUCGCCUGGCAUAGGCCUUCGGCAACAUUUCUCGCCCAUCGGGUAGCAUCCAUUUUCCCUGUUCUAGCUUAGCUCAUAUCCUUUCCAAUUUUGCCUGUUCCUCAGGAGUAAACCUCUUCCCUGUCUCCUGUCGCCUUUCUUCGCUUAUGUCUUCUUGCGUUUGUACUACAUUAAUUUUAGCGACUUGAGUCCUCAGGGCUGCUUCCUGGGCCUCUUUAUCUGCUAGGUUAUUUCCUCUGAUAUGAUAAUCUAGUCCCUUUUGAUGUCCUCUCACAUGUACCACUGCUAUCUCCUUUGGUUCUCUUAAUGCCUUUAAAAUUUUCACUAUUAAUUCUUGAUGUAUUAGAUUUUUCCCUUGAGUAUUAAUUAAGCCUCUUUCUUCCCAAAUUUUUCCAAAAGUGUGGACCACUCCAUAAGCAUAUUUAGAGUCUGUAAAGAUAGUUCCGUUUUUUCCUUUUAAUAAUUCCAGAGCCCUCCAAAGGGCAUACAGCUCACAAGCUUGAGCUGACCAUGAGGGACUUAAAGGUCCUGAUUCUACAAGCUCUAGAUCCUUAUUAACUAUGGCAUAUCCCGAUUUUCUCCUCCCUUCCACCACUCGAGAGGAGCCAUCUAUAAACAACGCUUCUCCCUUUUCCAAUUCAGUAUCUCUUAAGUCUGGCCUCACCUUAGUCUAAGUUUCAAUUACCUCUAAGCAAUUAUGUUGUACCUCCUCUGAUGGUUCUCCAAACAGAAACUGUGCUGGACUCUGAGCAGAAGUCACCCUCAGUUCUAAAUCAGGGGAGUCUAUCAGUAUUGCUUCAUAUUUUAAGAUGCGGCUGUCUGUUAACCAUUUUUCUGCCUUCUGUUGUAACACAUUUCUAACAUUGUGUGGGGUAUACACCUUUAAAGGAGCACUAAGGGUAAUUUUCUGAGCUUCCUCUAUUAAUAAUGCUGUAGCAACCAAAGCUUGGAGACAAGCAGGCAAUCCUCUACUGACUGGAUCAAGUAACUUAGAACAAUACCCCACAGGUUUUUUUAUUCCUGCCCAAUCUUGAGUAAGAACUCCAUAUGCUGUCUGGUUCGAAGUGUUCACAAAAAGAUGAAAAGAUUUUUCUAGGUCUGGGAGGCUCAAUACAGGGGGUUGUAUUAAUGUCUUUUUUAUUUCCUCGAAUUUCUGAUCAUCUUCUACAAACCACCUGAGUUGGUUAUUCGUUAGCUUUUCAUAAAGGAAUUUUACCUUUUCACUAUAAUUUUCAAGCCAUGGCCUACAAUAUCCUAAUAAUCCCAAUAUUUGCUGAACUUCUUUUUUAGUUUUUGAAGGUCUUAAGGAUAAAAUUCCAGAUACCCUGUCAGGAUCUAACUUCUUCCUUCCCUUACUCAGCCAAUGUCCUAAGUAUUUUACCUCCUGUUCUACAAACUGUAGCUUUGAUCGGGACACCUUCAAUCCCUUCUCCCCUACAAAGUUUAAGAGUUUAACGGUGGCUCCUCGAGUCUCCCCCUCAGUUUCUCCUGCUAUUAAUAAAUCAUCUACAUAUUGCAAUAAUUUUACCCCCUGAGGUAAUGUAAAAUCCUGUAAAAUUUUCUCUAAAGCUUGCCCAAAUAGAUUUGGUGACUCUGUAAACCCCUGUGGCAAUACCGUCCAUCUUAAUUACUGUUUUCGUCCUGUUUCAGGGUCCUCCCACUCAAAAGCAAAAUAAUCUCUGGAUCCCUCAUCUAAAGGACAGGCCCAAAAAGUGUCCUUCAAAUCUAUUACACUAUACCAAGUAUGCCUGGGAGAAAUAUGACUCAAUAAAGUGUAAGGAUUUGCCACUACAGGGAAUUUAGUAAUCGUCCGCUGAUUUACAGCCCUUAAAUCCUGUACCAUUCUGUAUGACCCAUCCGGUUUCUUUACAGGGAGUAUGGGUGUAUUUUGAGGUGACGUACAUGGUUCCAAAGUUCCUUUUUCCAAAAGUCUGUCAACCACAGGUUUUAAUCCUUUUCGACCCUCCAUGGGUAUAGGGUACUGCUUGGUUCUAAUCGGGCGAUGUGGAUCUGUUAUUUGAACAUUUAUGGGUUCCAUUUUUAGUUUUCCAGUUUCCCCUUCUUUAUACCAUACCAAGGGGUUAAUGGCUUCUUCAUCUUCCUGUGUUAAAGUAUACAAUUUAAUCUGCAAUUUGUUCCCCUGACUCUGGAUGCUCAAGUUUAACUUCAAAAUCAAGUCCCUUCCUAAUAAAUUGUAUUCCCCUUCAUGAGCAAAAGUAAAUCAUUGAAACAAAUCUUCUCUUUUGUUUCUACUUCUACAUCCUUUAAGAUGGGCACUUUAAAGGGUUCUCCCUUUGCCCCAACUACUGACAUACAACUCCUCCCUAUCUCUAUUCCUUUUGGAAGUGUUUGGAUGGUUGAUUUUUCAGCUCCUGUAUCCACUAAAAAUAAAGCCUCCUCCUUAUGGGGACCUAUUAAUAAUUUUAUCAAGGGCUCUGUUGAUGUUGGAGUCCCCAAAAGAUAUAGCCCCUGACACUCCUAUUCUUCUUUGAACAUUUUCUCAUCUUGUUUUCGCUUACGACAGUUCCUCUGAACAUGUCCCCUCUUAUUACAGUAGUAACAGAUGGGAACUAUGAAUCUCUCUCUCUGAGGCUGUCCCCUGGGUGCCUGUUCUAUUCUUUUUUCCCUUUUCUCCCCAACCGGAGCCUUAAUUUUCUGACUUUCUCUCACAGCUGCUCCAAAAAGUUUUGCUUUCGCUUUUUGUUUUUCUUCAUCCCUCCUAACAUAGACCUUCUGAGCCUCUCUGAGUAACUCCUCUAAUCCUCUUUCUUGCCAAUCUUCAAGUUUUUCUAAUUUCCUUAGAAAUUAGAAAUUUCCUUUCCACCGCCUCAAGGAGCUCUAUGAGCUGAACUUGGAGAGUAUUUAUGAGGGCAGUGCUGAGGAGAGCCUGGCAAUUGUAUCCUACGUUCGCAAGCUUUUUCGCUCCUUCUUUGUUGUGGAUGUCUUCAGUGAACUCGAGGAGCUGCCUGUCGUAGGCACUGUUGUCAUGCUCUCAGGGCACCGCAGUUCUGGCUCCAAUCACUGUCCCGUUCAAAGAGAAACUUGAGCCUAGUGGUAGCGUGGUUGUUUGGAGUUUCUUGCUAGCAAGAACUGCAGGAUGGGCUGCUGAAAGUCCUUUGAAAGGAGAGUAAAGUUUGGAGUAACCCUCUAUGCUUGAUGUCUAUUUUAACUUUGGCCUUUUGGAACAAAAUGGGACUACAGAAUGAGGAGGAAAGGUAGUUGAUAUUUUUGAGCUUGGAGAACACUGGGAGUGCUAUCUCUGCUUCCUUAUCCAUUAACAGCUGUUUACGAUGUGUAGUAACUGCUAAAGCUGGCUGUGGAGGAGAAACUGCUCAAAUGCAGAAGGCUGCAGUGUGUGCAGCUGCCCACUCGACUGUGUACUUGCGGGUCUCAUAAAUGAAAUGUGACCUGAAUGUAGCAUGUGUGCAGAAGAUGAAAACCCUUCCCACUUCCACCCAAGCUGCUUGUAAUGCAUGCUUCUGGAUGCUAACACUCAAGCAUUUAAAGAAGGUUUUGAGCAGAAGCCUUGGUUCUGAGGAACAAGGGGCCAGUUGCUUCCUCCUCACUUCCCCAACUGAAUACGAUGUUACCGUGGUGAACGGUUGAUGUAUUCUGUUAUACUUGAACUAUGAAUGCAGCAAUGACGUGGUGCUGGGAAUGAAAGAAGACAAGAUGCUUUUUGUUGUUGUUAUGAAGAGGUUUUGAGAUUAACAAGUUCAGUACUAUAAGUUAUCCAACUAAAAUAUUGGCUUCUAUGUAUGAUGAUAUUGUUUUUAUUUAAUCCCUCAAUAGAAAGGUUCUGGUGGUAGCAGAGGGACUCGCUUCCAUUCCGUGUGUGUACUUAAACUGCAGGUUCACAGCUGUUCCACCUUUGUGACAAAGUGCAUGAUGUCUUGUACCAGAUACUCUGGUUCCUCAGAGGCACUAAAAUGCCCUCCACGUGGCAUGUAAGAGUAAGUGAGGAGAUUCUUGAAGGUCUCCUUUGCCCAGGCACGUGGUGGAUGUGCUGGCUCCUGAGGGAAAGCUCCCUCUGAGGGAAAGUUCCCUCUGGGAACGUACGCUCCAUCCCUAGAAGACGUAACUGAUCUAACUGCAUCUUUGAAAGAAGUGCUGGGGAGGGUCUAUAGGAACCUUCUGAUUUUGGUGACUGCCACAGUCAGCUGGAGGUUUCACCGCAGCAGUGGACAUGAUUCUUGUCCCCGUCCCUUGUGUUCUGUCACCAGAACUCAUUGCUUCUCAAACACAGCUGGUAUUUGCUCAACCCUAUAUAGGGUAAGCAGUUAAUAUACUCUGUUCAUAGUGAUCUAGAGAAGGUUCAUUACCUGCAGUGUCUGCUUUGGUGGCUUGGAUCUGUAAGUAUCCAAACUCUCGCAGGAGGUCAUAUGUGUUUUGGAUGAAAGGGUACCCGUGUUGAGCACCUUCCCUUGUGAACCCUCUGGGCCGUGGUGCAUGAGCCCCAAGCAUCAUAGAAAUGAUCCUUCUUAAACCUUGGCUGCUGACAAAGAUGAUAUUCAGAAGCAGCCCCUUCGUGGGUCUAUAAUUAUGUUAAUGGAUAGAUGGCUAAAUUGGUGAUUUUCUCUCUCCAUAUUGUCUAAGAAAUAGGUCUGACUGGAGCUGUGAGAGAAAUCUCUCACUGAGCAGAACACAUGAAACCCUUCAGGAUCAUCAGGGUUCACACCAACCACAAAACGACGGAAGUUAGAAACGGUACAUCUGGUGCCAUCUCCAUCCAGCAGUGCCACUGCUACGCUGUUAGCUUCAGGCACCUGGGUUCUGGACGUGGCGUACUCCUACUGGGAGUGCUGGCUGCAGCCUGUGUGUCGCCGUAGGGAACGGGCUUUGAUGGGUGUGUUCUGAAAAGCUUGAGCAGAUCACACAGUGGCCACAGUGCUCAGAGUGAUGAGAAACACAACCGCAGUGGGGAACAUUGUGCUGCUCAGCCUGCAAUCUGACUGCCUUAAGAGCUUUCCACAUUUGUUCUCUGAGCUAAGCAGGGCUGUGUGCCCAUUGUUCAUUAAACGCUAAACCAUGACCUGUCAUGCCAUCUUCUUAGGAAGGUGAUGUGUUUUGUUUUCAAAACAGUCUCCACUCUGCAUUAAAGAGAGCAAAGUCUUAUGCUUUGUAGUACUGAAGAGUACGUUGGGCUGAACCCCUUUUGGGGUGUAUGGCUAAACACGGCUGUGGCAAAGCCAUGAUGGUGAGAAGCCUCUGCUGGUCUCACAAGGUUUUACUGGUUUGGUGGGUGAAACAAAAUUAAUCAGACUUCUGUUAAUUUCAUGUCUUUUACCUAGUAAGCUGUUGGGUAUAAUUUUAGGGCAGUAAUUGUGAGACUCCUUUGCCAGUCUGGCAUGGUUUUAUGUAGAUGGUGGGUGAAGACAGACUGGGAGGAGAGAGUCGCCAAACACCUGGCCCUGUUGCAUGUGUUGCAAAUGUUUUUGCAGUUCAGCUUGUCAGGUUGCUUUUUGUAAAAGUGUGUUUCAGAAUUAGAUAUUGAAAAGCUGCCUGGGGAUGGUCCUGGGCAGGUUGCCAGGUGGCCCUUCUUGAGCAGGGGUGGUUGGACCAGGUGCUGUCCAAUGAUUAGAGAAGACCUCCCCCUUCCUUGUGGUGCGAUCAUCCCGUAACCCGUGAUGAGAGGAGCAAGCGGUGGGUGCGAUGCCACACGGGUGUGGUGUACUGGAAGCGACUGGUUGAGUGCUGUCUUACUGUGUCAGAAGGUUGCAUUUCUGUUGUGUAUGGGGACACUUAGGACCUGUGUCUGCUGUCCAGAGCGAAGAAUGCGAGACCUAAGAGCGCAGGUGACGAGCAGCCUGCUGCGGUUCCCAGAGGGGACUCUUCAAGCACUCGUGAAACAUGAGGUGACCCAAGAUUCUGUGCUGCACGGGAAGUUUUCCGGAGAACACAAUGCCGCACACCAAGAUCAUAACCACGAGGGAAUGCAGGGCUCCUGCUGCGCCCAUCAUCAGGUACAGUCGCACAUCUUGAGGCCAUUUGACACUUGUGGUUGUCUCGCUGAGUACACCUGGAGGAGCAAUUGAGGAUGUCAGUCCAUCCUGUGCCCCUCCGGAGAGCUCAAAUUGCGUUUGCCACGACCAGGAUGUUCUCUGUUUCCCUCCAGCGCUGCUGCCUGGGCACUCGCGCCCAGCCUUUGGGACAGGUUGUACCAUCCAACAAAAUUCAGGCAGCCAGGAGAGCAGGUGGGGAAUGCAGAUCCUUGACCAGUUGCUCAUUUCAGAGACACAGAUAAAACCCAUCCCUGCAGCAGGGAGGGCCAUCUCAGCCCUCCCUCCUCCCUGAUGGGUGACACUGAGUGAGCACGGGACAGCAAUUACCGGGCGUGCCAGUGGGCGGCAUCACAUCUGCUCCUUUGGCAGGGACAGGCACUGAGCCACUGCUCUCUUCCAAGAACACCUCCUUCUGCUCUGCUUCUCUGUCCAUCUCUGGAGAGAGAGAGUGGGAAGUCAGAUGAGAUGGAACCGUUCCCCUCAGGGGGGUUUCAUAUUCAUGAGGAGAUCCUCAAAGACACUGGCAAAGUCUAGGAACA